UACGAAGGGGGCGAGCGUUGUUCGGAUUUACUGGGCGUAAAGGGCGCGCAGGCGGCGCAUUUUGUCAGGCGUGAAAGCCCCGGGCUUAACCUGGGAACUGCGUUUGAUACGGAUGGGCUAGAGUUCGGGAGAGGAGAGUGGAAUUCCCAGUGUAGAGGUGAAAUUCGUAGGUAUUGGGAAGAACACCGGUGGCGAAGGCGGCUCUCUGGACCGAGACUGACGCUGAGGCGCGAAAGCGUGGGGAGCGAACAGG
rnacentral:rRNA from 1 species